rnacentral:rRNA from 1 species
AGAGUUUGAUCCUGGCUCAAGAUGAACGCCGGCGGUGUGCCUAAUACAUGCAAGUCGUACGCACUGGCCCAACUGAUUGAUGGUGCUUGCACCUGAUUGACGUUGGAUCACCAGUGAGUGGCGGACGGGUGAGUAACACGUAGGUAACCUGCCCCGGAGCGGGGGAUAACAUUUGGAAACAGAUGCUAAUACCGCAUAACAACAAAAGCCACAUGGCUUUUGUUUGAAAGAUGGCUUUGGCUAUCACUCUGGGAUGGACCUGCGGUGCAUUAGCUAGUUGGUAAGGUAACGGCUUACCAAGGCGAUGAUGCAUAGCCGAGUUGAGAGACUGAUCGGCCACAAUGGAACUGAGACACGGUCCAUACUCCUACGGGAGGCAGCAGUAGGGAAUCUUCCACAAUGGGCGCAAGCCUGAUGGAGCAACACCGCGUGAGUGAAGAAGGGUUUCGGCUCGUAAAGCUCUGUUGUUGGAGAAGAACGUGCGUGAGAGUAACUGUUCACGCAGUGACGGUAUCCAACCAGAAAGUCACGGCUAACUACGUGCCAGCAGCCGCGGUAAUACGUAGGUGGCAAGCGUUAUCCGGAUUUAUUGGGCGUAAAGCGAGCGCAGGCGGUUGCUUAGGUCUGAUGUGAAAGCCUUCGGCUUAACCGAAGAAGUGCAUCGGAAACCGGGCGACUUGAGUGCAGAAGAGGACAGUGGAACUCCAUGUGUAGCGGUGGAAUGCGUAGAUAUAUGGAAGAACACCAGUGGCGAAGGCGGCUGUCUGGUCUGCAACUGACGCUGAGGCUCGAAAGCAUGGGUAGCGAACAGGAUUAGAUACCCUGGUAGUCCAUGCCGUAAACGAUGAGUGCUAGGUGUAGGAAGGGUUUCCGCCCUUCAGUGCCGGAGCUAA